rnacentral:rRNA from 1 species
CCUACGGGGGGCAGCAGUGGGGAAUAUUGGACAAUGGGGGGAACCCUGAUCCAGCCAUGCCGCGUGUGUGAAGAAGGCCCUCGGGUUGUAAAGCACUUUCAGUGAGGAAGAACGCCUGGUGGUUAAUACCCAUCAGGAAAGACAUCACUCACAGAAGAAGCACCGGCUAACUCCGUGCCAGCAGCCGCGGUAAUACGGAGGGUGCGAGCGUUAAUCGGAAUUACUGGGCGUAAAGCGCGCGUAGGUGGCUUGAUAAGCCGGUUGUGAAAGCCCCGGGCUCAACCUGGGAACGGCAUCCGGAACUGUCAAGCUAGAGUGCAGGAGAGGAAGGUAGAAUUCCCGGUGUAGCGGUGAAAUGCGUAGAGAUCGGGAGGAAUACCAGUGGCGAAGGCGGCCUUCUGGACUGACACUGACACUGAGGUGCGAAAGCGUGGGUAGCAAACAGGAUUAGAUACCAGUGUAGUC